GACGAACGCUGGCGGCGUGCUUAACACAUGCCAGUCGAACGGAAAGACCCUGCUCUUGCUGCUCUCUCGAUUGCCGCACGCGUGAGUAACACGCGUGGAACCUGUCCUUAUCUUUGUGAUAACUUCAGGAGACUGCGGCUCAUACCCGGUAGGAUCUCCUGCUCCGUGUUGUGGGUUGGAAAGUUUCGGCUUUUGUGUAUCGACUCGCGGCUUAUUAGCUAGGUGGUAAGGUAGUGGCGUUCCAAGGUUAUGACGGGUAGCCGGCCUGAGAGGGUGACCGGCCACACUGGAACUGAGACACGGUCCAGACUCCUACGGGAGGCAGCAGUAGGGAAUCUUCCGCAAUGGGCGAAAGCCUGACGGAGCAACGCCGCGUGAGUGAUGAAGGUCUUCGGAUCGUAAAACUCUGUUAUUAGGGAAGAACAAAUGUGUAAGUAACUAUGCACGUCUUGACGGUACCUAAUCAGAAAGCCACGGCUAACUACGUG
rnacentral:rRNA from 1 species